rnacentral:rRNA from 1 species
AUCGGUGACAGGUGGUGGCAUGGUUGUCGUCAGCUCGUGUCGUGAGAUGUUGGUUAAGUCCGCAACGAGCGCAACCCCUAUUGUUAGUUGUCAUCAUUCAGUUGGGCACUCUAGCGAGACUGCCGGUAAUAAACCGGAGGAAGGUGGGGAUGACGUCAAAUCAUCAUGCCCCUUAUGACCUGGGCUACACACGUGCUACAAUGGUUGGUACAACGAGUUGCGAGUCGGUGACGGCGAGCUAAUCUCUUAAAGCCAAUCUCAGUUCGGAUUGUAGGCUGCAACUCGCCUACAUGAAGUCGGAAUCGCUAGUAAUCGCGGAUCAGCACGCCGCGGUGAAUACGUUCCCGGGCCUU